rnacentral:tRNA from 1 species
GGGAGCAUAGUGUAGUGGCUAUCACGCUUCAUUUGCAUUCGUGUUCCUCACAGUUCCACCAGCGCAUCUUGAAGAGGUCCCGGGUUCAAUCCCCGGUGCUUCCA